GGGGACGAACGCCCUGACAGGUGGGCCCACCUGACAGUGGCAACGGGCGCGCGCGCGGCGCCGGGCCGGUUCGGUUCGGGCUGGCUCGGGGGAUGCGGGGCCGGCUCGGCCCAAAACGGCCGAGCCGGUCCGGUUUUUCCCUUUUUUUUCUUUUAGCCUUUUCUUUUUAUUUUGAACUCUAAAUUGGUCCAAAUAAAUCUCAGAAAAUUUGUAAAAUCAUGUUUUAUCAUGAUUCAACUUUUGGGAGUAAUUUCCUUUCAAAAUAAAAUAUAUAAAAAUACAUUUACCCUAUAAAUGCCUUUAGGGAUUUACCCAAUAAAUGCCUUUAGGGCUAUAUAACUAUUUAAAUAAAAUAGUUUUUCAACUCCAAAUAAUUAUCCAAAAAAAUAUGGGAUAGCUUACUUAUGCAAUAAACCCCUUUUAUAUAUAAACUCUAUUGGUUUGAAGAUCCAAAGCUCCAAUACGUGUAAACGCUAGGGUUUAAAUUGAAAUAAAAUAUUUUGAGAUUCAAAUUUGAAUUCAAAUAUGUAAUGGUGGCAUG
rnacentral:lncRNA from 1 species